AGUGAACGCUGGCGGCAGGCCUAAUACAUGCAAGUCGAACGGCAGCACGGCAGAGCUUGCUCUGUGGGUGGCGAGUGGCGGACGGGUGAGGAAUACAUGGGAAUCUGCCCAGUCGUGGGGGGAUAACGUAGGGAAACUUACGCUAAUACCGCAUGCGCCCUUCGGGGAAAGCGGGGACCUUCGGGCCUGGCGCGAUUGGAUGAGCCCGAUGUCGGAUUAGCUAGUUGGCGGGGUAAUGGCCCACCAAGGCGACGAUCCGUAGCUGGUCUGAGAGGAUGAUCAGCCACACUGGAACUGAGACACGGUCCAGACUCCUACGGGAGGCAGCAGUAGGGGAAUAUUGGACAAUGGGCGCAAGCCUGAUCCAGCCAUGCCGCGUGAGUGAAGAAGGCCCUCGGGUUGUAAAGCUCUUUUGUCCGGAAAGAAAAGCGCCGGGUUAAUACCCUGGUGUCCUGACGGUACCGGAAGAAUAAGCACCGGCUAACUUCGUGCCAGCAGCCGACGG
rnacentral:rRNA from 1 species